AGAGAGUCUCUCAUGUUGGUCAACAAGUUACCGUCUUUGUGAAAAGUUACAGCUGAUCUAUUUACCGGAGUUCGAUAUAAGCGAGGAAAGACUGGAUGAGGAAAAGCCACCAAUUAAGAUUAGAGACUGGUAUGGUACACGUGUUGACGCUGGCAGCCAGUAUCAACUUAGCGUGCGUCUGUUAGCAGACGACAGUUCAACUGAACUAGACGUUUGGAAAUACAACGCCACCAAAAGGCUAGGCGAUGGCUGGACGGAAGUGAAGCAUGUGUUUAAACACUAUCCGUCUGGUGUCCGUUAUAUAGAGUUUAAACAUGGAGGAAAAGAUGUAAGUGUAUGGGCUGGACAUUAUGGUGUCAAAAUGACGAAUUCUGGAGUUUUUAUCGAUGAG